UCAGAAUAUAAGCGGAACACUUUAGAAAGAAGUGGCCCAGACUAUAGCUUUCAACCGUUUCAAUGGCGUUCUCGCAACUCUUGCCUCGGUUUCAGAAAGGAACCGAACUAAUUCUAAAGACGUGCAGAGAAUGAAACAUCCGCGUGGUGGUGACUAUUAAAAACGUCGAACGUGGAGAAGAGGGAUGGCGGACUGGCAAUUGCUUCGUCUCGCUAAUAAAAGUAGAAAAAUAUCGCGUGAGUGAAAAAUUAAUUUAACAAGGAUCUUUUCAGUCGCGUCUAUUGUUCGGUCUGGAGGGAAUGAAGAAUAUGAUUGUGUUCGGUGCAUUGUGUUUUCAAGACUUUAAUUCGUUUCUUGUGUAUUUCGGCUUCUUCGUUGGAACUCGCAGUUCGAAGAAUUUUUUGGCCGAAUAUGUUGCACGUUUAUUCAAAAUUCGUCGCUUCUCGAGAAGGGUAAGGGACGUACAAUUAGCUAGCCGUUAGUUGGGUCGUUUCUCACACUGGCAAACGACUUGACGAUCGAACGACACGUCGUCACUGCGCUGAUAAAUUAAUAGGA
rnacentral:misc_RNA from 1 species